GCGCUUGCUUGGGUGGUUAGAGCGUGGCGCUGAUAACGCCAAGGUUGCAGGUUCAAUCCCUGCAUGGGACAGCUGCA